rnacentral:rRNA from 1 species
UCCUACGGGAGGCAGCAGUGGGGAAUAUUGGACAAUGGGCGAAAGCCUGAUCCAGCCAUGCCGCGUGUGUGAAGAAGGCCCUCGGGUUGUAAAGCACUUUCAGCGAGGAAGAACGCCUAGGGGUUAAUACCCCCUAGGAAAGACAUCACUCGCAGAAGAAGCACCGGCUAACUCCGUGCCAGCAGCCGCGGUAAUACGGAGGGUGCAAGCGUUAAUCGGAAUUACUGGGCGUAAAGCGCGCGUAGGUGGCUUGAUAAGCCGGUUGUGAAAGCCCCGGGCUCAACCUGGGAACGGCAUCCGGAACUGUCAAGCUAGAGUGCAGGAGAGGAAGGUAGAAUUCCCGGUGUAGCGGUGAAAUGCGUAGAGAUCGGGAGGAAUACCAGUGGCGAAGGCGGCCUUCUGGACUGACACUGACACUGAGGUGCGAAAGCGUGGGUAGCAAACAGGAUUAGAUACCCUGGUAGUCCACGCCGUAAACGAUGUCGACCAGCCGUUGGGUGCCUAGCGCACUUUGUGGCGAAGUUAACGCGAUAAGUCGACCGCCUGGGGAGUACGGCCGCAAGGUUAAAACUCAAAGGAAUUGACGGA